CCGGGCCGAGGGGACCGCGGCGGCGGGAUGAAGCGAGCCGGGGGGAGCGAGGAGCGGGAGGGAAAGGCCUUCCUCUUCCAGACAGUCGUGUCAUGCUGCGGAUCUCUGGAAAUUGGCUCCUGGUACCUACGGAAGAGCCUUGUAGUUUCCUCCAUCCGUCUCAUCCUCCUCCUCUUCCUCUUUUUCUCCUUCUUGUUCAUCUAUAGCGGGGAACCCUCCAGGAAUUUCCCAGAAGUGGGGUCACUGUACUAACCUCUCCUCAACACGGUCGGACGGUCUCCGUGCAGGCUGGUGGUCGCCCAGCUCACCGAGAGUGUAUGGGAGUGAUUUCCCUCUUCCCGCCUUGUCGCUCUUCCGGCAGAAGCCUUUGCCGUUGAUGACGAAGCCCCUGUGGAAUGGCCCCUUCGUGCAGAACUGGAGCUAGAGAACACAAGUCUCAGCCUCAAAGCUGGGCUCAGGCUGUUGCAGCGACAGCAGGGUCUUCCAAUCAAUCAAUCAAUCAAUAGAUUGUAUGUUUUGAGCGCUUACUGUGUGCCAUGCCCUGUAC